rnacentral:lncRNA from 1 species
AAUAUAAUUUCGGUUUGGGUUGACAAAGUAGUGGUUAGGGUUUAGAUUUUGUAAUUAACGGUUUGGGUUGAAAAAAUUAGAAGUUUGGGUUGAUAAAUUAUCGCGGUAACAACUUAUUUAACAUGUUCAAAAAUAAGUUAUCGAAUGCUAUUAAUCACGGAUGAACAGUGUUAUCGAAUUCUAUCAAUCAUAAAUGAAUAGUGUUAGUCUUAAUUUAACUGAUAAUAUGUAAAUUAUCGCGAUAACAAAUUAUUCAACAUGUUUAAAAGUAAGUUAUCGAAUGCUAUGAACAGUGUUACGUAUCCUACUCUCUUUUGUUUGUUUUUGCUAAAUCAAAUCAGGGUCAAAAAUGUAAUUU